rnacentral:tRNA from 1 species
GGUAUAGCUCAGUUGGUAGAGCACUUGCCUUGCAUGCACAAGGCCCUGGGUUUGAUUCCCAACACCA